AGAGCUACGGUGACACUUCGCGUGCGGUGUAGGCGCAUCUUCGCUCUGUUGGCCGUGGCUUUAGUAAGCACACACCUGCCUGCUACUCUGGUUAUCGUGGCGACGGCAGGUCUGGAUUGCCAGACAGGUUUUUCUUUUUACCUCGAGGCUUUCUCUGAAGGGAGUCGGAGCAUUUAAAAGGCGGCCUCAAGGUGGAUUGAGUCGGGGGAGGAUUAGCAGUAUUUGCUUAGGUUGUAAAACCGCGACUUUAUCUAAUAAAUCGCCAUUCAAGGUGCAAAUACAAACUUGGAACAGAGGCCUGCGCUUUGGAGCCUCUUCUACUCACCACUGACUGGGUUCCUCGAGCAGAUGACGUUGUGACCGGUGUUAUGGUGAUAGUGCUCGUCACUUUGCUUGCACCAGGCCGUGAGGAGAGGUGAUUCCUGGGAGAGCGAAGGACAGUGCCGGUGGAAACCUCCUUUUCGGCUGUCACGUUUACUGGUCGGACAGUAAUAACUGGACUGACUCCUUCACCUGAAGUCCCAGGGGACCGUUUAAACUGAGACCCUAAGUGAAUGUGAAUUUUAUUGUCCUCUGUGGUUAUGAUAUUGGCAUUGGAGUUGUAUUUCCGUACUGGAGUUGGAACAGUCUGUUUUUCUGGGGUGACUUUGAGGAUUGUCCGUCCCAUGGGCAUUUCCUGGGAUUCGGGAGAAACUGCAAUCUCAGCUGGUGCUGCUGAUGUAGACACCGUCAUUAUCUGAAUAGGGGAUGUGGGCCUGUCUGCAAAUGCGCCUCUUCCACUUUCUGGAGUCUUCUCUCUGGAAAAUGUAGUAAUUGUGACUGGGGACAUGGCUCGUUCUGGGCCAAGAGUAGUAUCUCCACUUUUUUGUUUUUGAGGCAUAACGUUUGGUGAUGGAAUAAUGGUUAUUCUUGGUUUCUGAUUCCCUAAGGUAGGAAUGACAGUGGUACUAGAAAAAAAUUCUUCAGAUGUCGGGCUUGUUAUCUCCAAAGUCGCAGUGCUGUUCUCGUGGUCUGGUGUCACUCGAAUAUGCAGGGGCUGGCCCUGCUUUGGUGAAAGGACUACCUCUCCUGGGUGCCCUGGACUGGAAUUUGUUCGGGGCCCUUUCUCCUGAGUGAUGGAGGGGCCGUUUUCCCUCUUUCUCAUCCAUGGAAUCCAAGACUUUCUCAUAGUGAGCUCAUUUGCUGCUGGAGGAUACCUGUCUAGAACAGAAGAUCUUUCCACGGGUUUCUUCAAUCCCACCUGCCGAAGAUUACUCAUAAUAUGAUUUUCUUCCUGGAAGGAUUUCCGUAUGAAUACAGCUGGCGUUUCUUCCUCUGCUGCUUCACCGCUGACUGCAUCAGUUUGGACUCCAGUUGACGUCACAGGAACAUCCACCAUUCUUCUUCCAUUCACACUGGGCCUAAGAGCUCUGCUGUAGCGCUUGGAAAGCUCCAACUCUUUGGUCAGAUUGAGAACCUCCUGCCCCAUGUUUUUGUUCUUAUUUUCUUCUUCCAUAAAUCUUUGUUGAAGUACAGAAUAAUCUACCUGGAGCUGAGAAAGCUGAUCUUCUUUGUUCAUUAAUUCGUGAAUCUUCUCUUUAAGAGCUUGUACUUCGGCUUUUAAGUCUCGACUUUUAGCUUCUUCCAACCGAAAUCUGUGUCUCAGUUCAGCUUCCUGGCUCACAACCUCACCCUUCUCUAUUGCUUUAUUCUUGGCAAUUUGGUGCUUGAUCUCCUCUAGUUGUUGAGAGAGGAAGUUAGCCUUAUCCUGCUCAGUUCUAAAUUUCUGUUCCAGCUGAUCAUACUCAUCUUCUGUCUUCAUCAAAUCCCCUUCGACCACUUCCAAUUGUUGGAGACGUUUCUUCAGUCUCUCAAUUUCAAGUGUUAGUUCCUUAAUCUUAUUAUCUUCCGGGCAGGUGAGCUCAGACCCUUUUCGUGACCUUCCUCUUGUUAUUUCUCUUUCCACUUCCUCUAUACCAUCAAGUCUCUUCUUUAGUAAGUCAACACUGCAGCUUAAUUCAGAGGAUUUUUCUUCUUCACUUUUCAAUUUGCCUAUCAACUCAUCUCUUUCUCUUGUCAAGUUGUAUACUUUUUCCUCCAUUUCAGAUUUUAGUUUUAAAAGUUUCUUACUUUCUUCAAUUAGUUUUUCAGUUACAUCCAUAACUUUUCCUUGUUCCACCUUAAAAUUUUUAUUGAGUCCAUCCACUUUUCUCUCUUCUUGUUUUAUUUUUUCCAUCAUAUUUUUCCUUUCAUCAACCAGCAUCACGGUAAAUGACUUCAACUUGGUAAGAUCAUCUUUUAGGCUUAAUUCAGCCUUUUCCAAUCUACUUUCAGAACAUUCCAAUUCUUUAACUCGACUCUUGACCACCUCCAAUUCAUUUAGCAGGUCUUUGGUUAAGUUCUUUUCUUUCUCCAGAUUUAAAUGUAGCUGGGUGCACUCAGAUUUACUCUUGCUAAAUGCUUCUUCCAAUUUCUCUAGUUCAGACAUUCUCUUCUGUAGCUUCUCAACUUCAAGUCUGAGCUCCUUACUAUGGUGUUCUUCCUCUUGCAGCUUCUUCCUCAAUUCCCUACACUGGGAUUCAGUUUUAGUGAUCUCCUCAUCUUUACCUUCCAUUUCAAGCACACGCUUUCGAAGAUUUUCCACUUCUGCCAUGAGGCUAGAGUUUCCACAUUCUCCUUUGGCAAUUUUAUCUCUUAAUUCUUGAAGUUCUUCCUCUGCCUUCUGCAGAUUUUUGUUGGUCUCUUCUAGCUCCUCGAUUCUUUGGGUUAAGCCAACCAGCUUGAGUCUAAGUUGCCUAUUGUGAGACUCUUGAUUAGCCAGUUUAGCGUUCAUCUCUUCAUGCUCUUGAGAAAACCUCGAAGCCUUGUGUUCAAAGUCCACUUCUAACUUGAGCAAUUUCUGUCUGUCUUCUUUGGAUUUGGAAGUAAUGGCUUUGAGCUUCUCUUCUUCUUCCCUCAGCUUCUGAGUAAGAUCCUGUACUUUCUGGCUUUGCAGGCCAAGUUGUUCAAUGUGCAUUUGUCUUUCAUCCACCAGCAUGAGUGCAAAGGAUUUGAGUUUAACAAGCUCAUCUCUUAGUUUAUUGAGUCGUUUAGCAUUUUCCUUUUCUUUGCGGGCUUGAUAAGCCUUUUCUUGUUCAAGGAGCUUUUUUAACCUAGAAAAUAAAAUAUACCUAUAUGUUAAAAGAGUAAUCAGCAAACAGAUUUAAGCAUUGAUAUUAAAUAAAAAACAAAAAGCCACUACAAUAAAUCCCUUAUCAAUUGCUAUAAUUUCAAUGUUUAAAGAAUAGCCAUUAAUGAAAUGAAUGGGAAGUCAAAAUAUUAGUUACCCUUAGGGGUAGUGGCUAGAAGGGGGCAUGAGGAGGGCUUUGAGUGUAACUAGUUUCUCUUUUGUAAUUUGCAUGCUUGCUAUACAGGAUUGUUUAGCUUACCUUAUGAAAUUUCAGUAAGCUGAACACUUCCGAGUAUCUUUCUGCAUAUGUAUUAUACUUUAAUACAGUAGCCAUUAAGUAAAACUUAGGUUGUGCAAUAAUAAUGACUAUUUACAUAAUGUCUUCUGUAUCCUUGGUGUUAGCAUUUACUUUAUUCUCAGAGUAACCCUAUGAGAUAUGUAUUGCUACUAUCAUCACCAUGAAAAAACAUGAGAUACAGGGGAAUUAUGUAGCCUGCUACAGAUCCCAGAGUCAGUAAGUGGCAGGGCUGGGUUUCAAACUUAGCCAGGAAGCCUUCAAAAUUAUUGCUCUCCACCUCUGCAUCAUAUGAUUUGAGGAGAUAAAUUUACUUUAAAUGAUGGUAAAGGUUCAGAAAAGAAGCAGCUUUGGGUUUUCUUAUUUUAAACCCUUGACGUAAACUACGUAACUGUCACCUGGAAGGGACAAAGUAUGACUGGCUUUCUGAUACAAACACUGAUUUACAUAAAUUGAUUUUAGUUCACACCAGAACUGGCACAGGAUUUUUUUAUUUAAACAAUACUUUUUUAAUCAAGAACUAGAUAGCAAGAAAAUCUGUAUAUCAAUACAAAAAUGUGGCAGCCACAGGAAUUAUUGUUUCACUUGUGUGAAAUACAUUUUCUCUAUGGCAUUUAUGAAUAUCUGUAAAAAGUAGGAAUAUAAAUAUGCUGAAGUAGCUAUUUACCAUUCUUGGGUUGGUCAGUUAACUUGUACUAAUUUUAAUAGUUUUUUUAUUUACCCAUAAAACAAAAUUAUAAUCAUAUUUGCCAUGUUAGUGUAAGAAUGCAUUUUAGUAAUUAAUAGGUUUAUAAGGGAAGCAAGUUAUAAACAACCAAUGACAUGCACUUAUUUAAGUAUAAUAGAUUUUAUUCUUUCAGUGUAUUUUGCUCCUUUACUAUUCUGACUGAUUAAUUUCAUAUUUAUGACUAGAUUAGCUGUUAGCCAAGUAAAUAGAAUUUAAUAGUCUCUCAUUGCAUUGUGUAAGAAAUAUUUGUGUGUUUUUUUUUUACUUGUCACUGACUGAAAGCUGGUGUACAAGAAAUAUUUGAACAUACAUUAGUAAAGCACAAUAGAAGCUAUUAAUAAUUAAAUACAGUGUGAGAUAAGUAUUACAGAAAUGGCUCUGAUCAUGUCGUUAAGAUUUUUUCAUAGAAUUUACUUUUAUAAAGCAUGAUUGUGUCUCAGCAUCUCUAAACUAAUGCAUACCCUCCAAAAAUCAUUAUGACUUUAUUCCUAAAAUAGGAGGAAAAUAUGAUCUUCAAGUCCUACUGAUUUGCCUAAUACUGUAACAGCAUCACUAAAUGUGGUCCUUACAUGUAGAAAACAGCAUUUUAUUGACCAUGUUCUCUUUUUACUAAAAGUUGAAACAAGUGAAAUAAUGUCAUAGAACCAUAGAUUAGGGGAGAAACUUUUCAGGAUAUUUUCAACAUAAAAUACCAUUUUCAAAUUCCUUGCCCUUAACUGGACUGUUAGAGAUUAAUUUAUUGAAAACGUUACUGCUUCCAAUUCUAAGCUUAACAUGUUAAAGCUUCUAAAAAUAUAUUUUUAGGAAUACUAUGCCUCUAUACUGUUAGAGGCAGUGGAUUGGAGUGACUACAACAUAGGUUUUGGAGUCAGACAAUCAAAUCUGAAUUCUGACUCUGUCACUUUCUAACUGUGUAAUCUCUGGCCAAUCACUGAAACUCUCUGAUUCUCAAUUUUUUCACCAGUAGAGGAAAGAGGGAGGGAUAUUAACCCAUUUAUGCUGGAGGUUGCAAUUUUUUGUGUGUGAAAAAUCAGACCUUGGUGAUGACCUUGAGAAGCAGGAUAUAAAUAAAUCCCACAAGCUUAGCGUUCCAAUAAUGGAACACUAAUACCAACCAUAUAGAAUUGUUGUGAAGAUUAAUUGAAAUAGUAGAAGUAAAGUGACAGAUACAUAGACUCAAUACAUGAAUGUAAUAAAGCACAAAAAGAUAAGAACUAUUGUAUAUGCUAUUGGCUUCAUCUGGAAAGACUGUCAGUGCUUUCUAUAUUUAACCAAUAAAUAUUU
ensembl:lncRNA TMEM30A-DT TMEM30A divergent transcript